rnacentral:rRNA from 1 species
CCUACGGGUGGCUGCAGUGAGGAAUAUUGGUCAAUGGGCGCGAGACUGAACCAGCCAAGUCGCGUGAGGGAAGAAGGUACAAUGGAUCGUAAACCUCUUUUGUCGGGGAGCAAAAGACGCCACGCGUGGCCUUCCGAGAGUACCCGAAGAAAAAGCAUCGGCUAACUCCGUGCCAGCAGCCGCGGUAAUACGGAGGAUGCGAGCGUUAUCCGGAUUUAUUGGGUUUAAAGGGUGCGCAGGCGGACGAUCAAGUCAGCAGUAAAAUUGAGGGGCUCAACCUCGUCGAGCCGUUGAAACUGGUUGUCUUGAGUGAGUGAGAAGUAUGCGGAAUGCGUGGUGUAGCGGUGAAAUGCAUAGAUAUCGCGCAGAACUCCGAUUGCGAAGGCAGCAUACCGGCGCUCAACUGACGCUCAUGCACGAAAGUGUGGGUAUCGAACAGGAUUAGAUACCCUUGUAGUC